ACGAAGUCAUUGAUGCCAUGCUUCCGGGAAAAGCUUCUAAGCUUCAGAUUAUAAGAAAUCGUACCCCAAACCGACACAGGUGAUCAGGUAGAGAAUACCAAGGCGCUUGAGAGAACUCGGGUGAAGGAACUAGGCAAAAUGGUACCGUAACUUCGGGAGAAGGUACGCUCCUAGCGGUGAUGAGACUUGCUCUCUAAGCUGCCGGGAGUCGCAGAUACCAGGUGGCUGCAACUGUUUAUUAAAAACACAGCACUGUGCAAAAUCGAAAGAUGACGUAUACGGUGUGACGCCUGCCCGGUGCCGGAAGGUUAAUUGAUGGGGUUAGACUUCGGUCGAAGCUCUUGAUCGAAGCCCCGGUAAACGGCGGCCGUAACUAUAACGGUCCUAAGGUAGCGAAAUUCCUUGUCGGGUAAGUUCCGACCUGCACGAAUGGCGUAAUGAUGGCCACGCUGUCUCCACCCGAGACUCAGUGAAAUUGAAAUCGCAGUGAAGAUGCUGCGUCCCCGCGGCUAGACGGAAAGACCCCGUGAACCUUUACUAUAGCUUGGCACUGAACAUUGACCCUACAUGUGUAGGAUAGGUGGGAGACGUUGAAGCAACCGCGCCAGUGGUUGUGGAGUCAAUCUUGAAAUACCACCCUUGUAUGCUUGAUGUUCUAACGUUGGCCCCUUAUCGGGGUUACGGACAGUGCCUGGUGGGUAGUUUGACUGGGGCGGUCUCCUCCCAAAGAGUAACGGAGGAGCACGAAGGUGGGCUAAUCACGGUCGGACAUCGUGAGGUUAGUGCAAUGGCAUAAGCCCGCUUGACUGCGAGAAUGACAAUUCGAGCAGGUGCGAAAGCAGGUCAUAGUGAUCCGGUGGUUCUGAAUGGAAGGGCCAUCGCUCAACGGAUAAAAGGUACUCCGGGGAUAACAGGCUGAUACCGCCCAAGAGUUCAUAUCGACGGCGGUGUUUGGCACCUCGAUGUCGGCUCAUCACAUCCUGGGGCUGAAGUCGGUCCCAAGGGUAUGGCUGUUCGCCAUUUAAAGUGGUACGCGAGCUGGGUUUAGAACGUCGUGAGACAGUUCGGUCCCUAUCUGCCGUGGGCGUUGGAUGAUUGAGAGGGGCUGCUCCUAGUACGAGAGGACCGGAGUGGACGAACCGCUGGUGUUCGGGUUGUGUCGCCAGACGCAUUGCCCGGUAGCUAAGUUCGGAAUCGAUAACCGCUGAAAGCAUCUAAGCGGGAAGCGAGCCUCAAGAUGAGUCAUCCCUAGACCUUUAAGGUCUCUAAAGGGUUGUUGAAGACUACAACGUUGAUAGGUCGGGUGUGUAAGUGCUGCGAGGCAUUGAGCUAACCGAUACUAAUUGCCCGUGAGGCUUAACCAUACAACACCCAAGGGGUUU
rnacentral:rRNA from 1 species